AUACGGAGGAUGCGAGCGUUAUCCGGAUUUAUUGGGUUUAAAGGGAGCGUAGGUGGGAUAUUAAGUCAGCUGUGAAAGUUUGGGGCUCAACCUUAAAAUUGCAGUUGAUACUGGUUUCCUUGAGUACGGUACAGGUGGGCGGAAUUCGUGGUGUAGCGGUGAAAUGCUUGAAUAUCACGAAGAACUCCGAUCGCGAAGGCAGCUCACCGGGCCGGAACUGACACUGAUGCUCGAAAGUGCGGGUAUCAAACAGGAUUAGAUACCCUGGUAGUCCGCACAGUAAACGAUGAAUACUCGCUGUUUGCGAUACACUGUAAGCGGCCAAGCGAAAGCGUUAAGUAUUCCACCUGGGGAGUACGCCGGCAACGGUGAAACUCAAAGGAAUUGGCGGGG
rnacentral:rRNA from 1 species